rnacentral:rRNA from 1 species
AGUCGAGGGGCAGCAUGGUCGUUGCUUGCAAUGACCGAUGGCGACCGGCGCACGGGUGAGUAACGCGUAUCCAACCUUCCCCCUACCCGGGUAUAGCCCGCCGAAAGGCGGAUUAAUCCCCGAUACGUCCCCUGACGGCAUCAGGCGGGGACGAAAGGUAUUCCGGUAAGGGAUGGGGAUGCGUCCGAUUAGCUUGUUGGCGGGGUAACGGCCCACCAAGGCAACGAUCGGUAGGGGUUCUGAGAGGAAGGUCCCCCACAUUGGAACUGAGACACGGUCCAAACUCCUACGGGAGGCAGCAGUGAGGAAUAUUGGUCAAUGGGCGGAAGCCUGAACCAGCCAAGUAGCGUGCAGGAUGACGGCCCUACGGGUUGUAAACUGCUUUUUUGCGGGAAUAAAGCGGCCCACGCGUGGGCCUUUGCAUGUACCGCACGAAUAAGGACCGGCUAAUUCCGUGCCAGCAGCCGCGGUAAUACGGAAGGUCCUGGCGUUAUCCGGAUUUAUUGGGUUUAAAGGGAGCGUAGGCCGCCUUUUAAGCGUGCUGUGAAAUACCGUUGCCCAACAACGGGGCUGCAGCGCGAACUGGAGGGCUUGAGUUCACGGGAAGCCGGCGGAAUUCGUCGUGUAGCGGUGAAAUGCUUAGAUAUGACGAAGAACUCCGAUUGCGAAGGCAGCCGGCUGUAGUGUUACUGACGCUGAAGCUCGAAAGUGCGGGUAUCGAACAGGAUUAGAUACCCUGGUAGUCCGCACGGUAAACGAUGGACGCCCGCUGUGCGCCCUUUAGGGUGCGCGGCCUAGCGAAAGCGUUAAGCGUCCCACCUGGGGAGUACGCCGGCAACGGUGAAACUCAAAGGAAUUGACGGGGGCCCGCACAAGCGGAGGAACAUGUGGUUUAAUUCGAUGAUACGCGAGGAACCUUACCCGGGCUUGAACUGCAGAGGAAAGAUCCAGAGAUGGUGAUGCCCUUCGGGGCCUCUGCGGAGGUGCUGCAUGGUUGUCGUCAGCUCGUGCCGUGAGGUGUCGGCUUAAGUGCCAUAACGAGCGCAACCCCUUUCCCCAGUUGCCAUCGGGUAAUGCCGGGCACUC